rnacentral:rRNA from 1 species
UUCGACUAAGCCAUGCGAGUCGAGAGGGUUCGGCCCUCGGCGUACUGCUCAGUAACACGUGGAUAACCUGCCCUAGGGAAGGGGAUAACCCCGGGAAACUGGGGAUAAUACCCUAUAGAUUACAGAUGCUGGAAUGCCCUGUAAUCCAAAGUUCCGACGCCCUAGGAUGGAUCUGCGGCCGAUUAGGUUGUUGUUGGGGUAAUGGCCCAACAAGCCCGUAAUCGGUACGGGUUGUGGGAGCAAGAGCCCGGAGUUGGAUUCUGAGACACGAAUCCAGGCCCUACGGGGCGCAGCAGGCGCGAAAACUUUACAAUGCGGGCAACCGUGAUAAGGGAACCUCGAGUGCCUGUAAAUGCAGGCUGUUCAGGUGCCUAAAACACACCUGAAGAAAGGGCCGGGCAAGACCGGUGCCAGCCGCCGCGGUAAUACCGGCGGCUCGAGUGGUGGCCGCUUUUAUUGGGCUUAAAGCGUUCGUAGCUGGGUUGUUAAGUCUCUUGGGAAAUCUGGCGGCUUAACCGUCAGGCGUCUAAGGGAUACUGGCAAUCUUGGAACCGGGAGAGGUGAGGGGUACUUCGGGGGGUAGGGAGUGAAAUCCUGUAAUCCUCGAGGGACCACCUGGGGGCGAAGGCGCCUCCCCAGAACGGCUUCGACAGUGAGGGACGAAAGCUGGGGGAGCAAACCGGAUUAGAUACCCGGGUAGUCCCAGCCGUAAACUAUGCGCGUUAGGGGUAUCGGUGACCACGAGUUACCGAGGUGCCGAAGGGAACCGUGAAACGUGCCGCCUGGGAAGUACGGUCGCAGGCUGAACUUAAGGAAUUGGCGGGGGAGCA